UGGCGGACGGGUGAGUAACACGUGGGUAACCUGCCUCAAAGUGGGGGAUAGCCUUCCGAAAGGAAGAUUAAUACCGCAUAACCCAUAGCUUCCGCAUGGAAGCAAUGGUAAAGAUUUAUCGCUUUGAGAUGGACCCGCGGCGCAUUAGCUAGUUGGUGAGGUAACGGCUCACCAAGGCCACGAUGCGUAGCCGACCUGAGAGGGUGAUCGGCCACAUUGGAACUGAGACACGGUCCAGACUCCUACGGGAGGCAGCAGUGGGGAAUAUUGCACAAUGGGCGAAAGCCUGAUGCAGCAACGCCGCGUGAGUGAUGAAGGCCUUCGGGUUGUAAAGCUCUGUCUUUGGGGACGAUAAUGACGGUACCCAAGGAGGAAGCCACGGCUAACUACGUGCCAGCAGCCGCGGUAAU
rnacentral:rRNA from 1 species